CGGGGUGAGGACCCCUGUCGGUGUGAUGUCGGCCAGGGGAACAUCUGUAGCGACCGAAUACAGGGCGGGCCCCCCACUGUGACGGGUGAAGCUGAGACGCGUCUCUGUGACCUGUCCAGGUCACCGUGCAGCCACCUUUCCGUUGCGGGUCAGAACUUCGUGCCCUCCGUCAAGCUGAGGUGUAAGGUCGUACAACCAGAAAGCCAUAGGACUUUCGUCGUCACAGCCACCUAUCGGUCACAGAAGGAAAUACAAUGUCGGCUGCCUGCCGAAAUAUUCCGACGCCUGAGGCACACAGAUGACGUCACGCGGUGGCAAGUUCGGGUAUCAUACGACGGAGACAGGUGGAGUCUUCCCG